rnacentral:rRNA from 1 species
GAUGAACGCUGGCGGCGUGCCUAAUACAUGCAAGUCGAGCGAACAGACGAGGAGCUUGCUCCUCUGACGUUAGCGGCGGACGGGUGAGUAACACGUGGAUAACCUACCUAUAAGACUGGGAUAACUUCGGGAAACCGGAGCUAAUACCGGAUAAUAUAUUGAACCGCAUGGUUCAAUAGUGAAAGACGGUUUUGCUGUCACUUAUAGAUGGAUCCGCGCCGCAUUAGCUAGUUGGUAAGGUAACGGCUUACCAAGGCAACGAUGCAUAGCCGACCUGAGAGGGUGAUCGGCCACACUGGAACUGAGACCCGGUCCAGACUCCUACGGGAGGCAGCAGUAGGGAAUCUUCCGCAAUGGGCGAAAGCCUGACGGAGCAACGCCGCGUGAGUGAUGAAGGUCUUCGGAUCGUAAAACUCUGUUAUUAGGGAAGAACAAAUGUGUAAGUAACUAUGCACGUCUUGACGGUACCUAAUCAGAAAGCCACGGCUAACUACGUG